ACGAACGCUGGCGGCAUGCCUAACCCCUGCCAGUCGAACGAGACCUUCGGGUCUAGUGGCGCACGGGUGCGUAACGCGUGGGAACCUGCCCUUAGGUUCGGAAUAACUCCCCGAAAGGGGUGCUAAUACCGGAUAAUGUCUUCGGACCAAAGAUUUAUCGCCUUUGGAUGGGCCCGCGUUGGAUUAGCUAGUUGGUAGGGUAAAAGCCUACCAAGGCGACGAUCCAUAGCUGGUCUGAGAGGAUGAUCAGCCACACUGGGACUGAGACACGGCCCAGACUCCUACGGGAGGCAGCAGUGGGGAAUAUUGGACAAUGGGCGAAAGCCUGAUCCAGCAAUGCCGCGUGAGUGAUGAAGGCCUUAGGGUUGUAAAGCUCUUUUACCCGGGAUGAUAAUGACAGUACCGGGAGAAUAAGCUCCGGCUAACUCCGUG
rnacentral:rRNA from 1 species